UGCAUGAAGCCGGAAUUGCUAGUAAUGGCAGGUCAGCAUACUGCCGUGAAUACGUUCCCGGGCCUUGUACACACCGCCCGUCACACCAUGAGAGUUGGGGAUACCCAAAGCCCGUGAGCCAACUUUUUAAGAGGCAGCGGUCUAAGGUAGAAUCAAUGAUUGGGGUGAAGUCGUAACAAGGUAGC
rnacentral:rRNA from 1 species